UGAUAGCUUAUAUUUUCCUAUUUUGUCACUCACUCUUAUUCUCGUCAAUGAGAAGCCUGUGUUUUUUAAAAAUGCGAACGUCUAAAAACUUUGGAAACGGAAUCCUAAAUCACGUGAUAUCCAUGCUGGCAAAGUUUUAACAUACAGGUGUUUGAAAAGCCAUGAACUUCCUGAAACCUGAUGGACAUCUUCACUGUAUGAGCUACAAAUCCAGGCAGUAGGUCUUGUUUACACUUUACACUCCAUAUAACAAGGAUGUGAAUGACUUUUUUUAUGGCUUUACAAGGAGGAAGUUGAAUUCCAGCUGGAGCGUUUCCUUUCCCUGUUCCUCCUGAAUGUAGUAGUAGUAGUUUUCCUCUGUAAAGAGCUGUUUGGACUGAAGUGCACCUCAGUGAGACCCAAACAGGGGGAGGUUGUGUUAUCUGUGUUAUAUAACCUGCCUUAUACAAGCACACUGUCUUUAUAACCGAACUGGAGUGGGGGGAAAUGGACCAGAUCACAUUAAAGCCAACAUCUGGCUGAAGAAAUGAAACAUCUUAACAGUGUGUUAUUUCUAUAACGUUACUGCAAUGUGUGCAUUAUAACAGCGGUGAAAGUAUGUAAAGCACGGUUUUAUAUCCGGAUAAGAAUGCAGUAAAGCGUAAACUGAUCAUAGUAAACUCUAAUGCUCGGUGGAUGCUGGAAACUCACAAUGCAUGUAAUCGAAUUAAAUAUUCUUAUUGAGUAAGAUAGUAUAAAUGAAUCUGCAUCCGCUGAGCGCAAAAUUGGUUUGCGCAUGCGCAUUCAUUAAGCGAGGGGGGAGGGGGAGCACGCAUGCGCCGUGCAGCUCGGGCGGUGAUGUAAUGCCCAACAAUGUUGAAGGUGAAAAUAGCGAGACGAAGGCAGAGAAAGACGUCGACAGAGAGGGACUUGUGAACAAAGCAGUACUGGAUUUUCGACUUUUUAAAAAUCUAAAUAAGGAUUAAUUUAAACAAAUUAACGUUUUCAACGACGGUUUUUUCUUUAGAUCUACGGAUAUUGCCGUUUUCUGGAUGAACGACAAAACACUGGAAACUAUUUUUUUUUCCUUUCAACGUCGAUUAAGGUUGGCUUUGUGAUGACGUCACACAUACCCGUAUGUGGGCAGGGUCGGGAGCUGCGAGGGGAGAGAGGCGCACCCGGAGAUUCGACGGGGAACUGCGCAUGCGCGAUGCAGAUAGCGAGGCUAUUUACGUUCCCGAAACCUUGGCUUCGAAACGUAAACACGAAAUCUUACAUAUUACACUAACGCUAUACUGUUAAUAUUACAGUUUAUCUAUAUAUCACUUUAAGUGGGCAUAAUUGUUUAAAACAAAAUUACGCGACGAUGGCUCUAAAAAGCUCCGUUCCGCUUUUGUCGUUGCCAUGUGAACGACUUCUCAGCUGUCCAAUCAGCGAGCAGCGUGUGAAGCGUCCAGCCAAUCCCGGCGCGAGAAGAACGUGGGUGGGGGGAGAACAAAAUAGCGCAGAGACUGGACGCCAUUUAAAAAUGACGCUCUUUACACUGUUCAGUCACCGUUAAAAGCGGGACACGAGUGGUUAAAGAUGUGAGGGAUUUAAAAAUGACGUGUUUAAGUGGAGUUGCUAAAAUAUUAAGGUUUUAAAAUCGCCUAAAACCUUUACUUGUUAUGGAUUUUUAAAUCUGUGGCAGAUGAGUGAGGUGGGUGUGGCCAGCUUUGUCCCAGAAAAUGGCGGCCGUUGAUGUGAUGGAUUACACCGCCGAGUUGUUUCAGAGUUUGGUUUUUUACCUUGCGCUUUCUUUUGGCUAAACACAAAGGCUGAAAAAGGAAGCCCGCUCUCGCUAGUCGCAUCCGCUUGCCGGAAGUAGCGUGACGUCGCGGUGUGUUUGCGCUCCAACGGUUUUAACCGUCCUGCGUGCGCGCGCGCGUCAAUAUCGGUUGUGUUCUAGAAAGUACACCCGGAAGUGUGAUCAGCCAAUCAGAACACAGAUCACAGUUCCGGUAGAAAUGUAAAGCAAAGACGUUACAACUCUUUUACUUUUUAUUUUUUAAUAAACAUUUUUAAUAUUAAGUGUUUAUAAGUAUAUUGUUUACAAUGAGUUAAAAUUGCAGGAAGUUUACUUUGAGUUUAUUUACAUGCUGAGCGUUAGGUUAAAACUUUUACUCCUGAGAUUGAAUUUAAAGUCUGUUUAGUGUAAAUGACCGGUCUGAAGAUCUCUUCUCCUUCAGCAGGAGUCCUGUAGUAUUUGUAAGUGAAAGCCCUGAUUAUUGUGUGUGUGCUGAAGCAAAUCCUCUGACACCUCUCUCUCCAGCUGAGGUCAGAGUCAGGAGGAAGUGCUCAGUGGGAGGGAACUUCCUGUUCUGGGUUUAAAUCAGAGUUCUGAAACUUUUGCUGCUCUGUCGUUUACCUCGGUUUCCGUCGACCGACCGACAAACACACACCAGGUCCACUCUGUGUGGGUUAUUUAGAUUGAGGAGUGUUUUCUAAAAUAAAUACUGUGUGUGUGUUUGUGUGUGUGUGAGAGAGAGUGUGUGUGUUUUUUAGAUUGAGGAGUAUUUAUUUUCUGCUCUGAUUAAACAGUGUAUUUCCUGCUUUAAUGUUUAUUAAAUAUUGAAAUCUGAUUUUUUUUUAAGGUUUUAAAGUGAACAUGUCCGUGGGAAAUCCUGGACUCUGUGUGUGUGUGUGUGUGUGUGUGUGUGUGUGUGUGUACUUUAUUUUCUCACAGAUCUCUGACACCUCUGACCUUUCCACUGACCCCACUGACUGCUGAUUCCACUCAGCAAAUAUUACACACUUUACCUCCAUCACAUUUCAGUAACUGGGAGAAAAUAUUCUGUGUGUUUUCUCUGUGUGUGUGAACGAUAACGCAGUAAAGGAAAAAUAAACGCUUUAUAACACGUG